UUGAACGCUGGCGGUAUGCCUUACACAUGCAAGUCGAACGGCAGCACGGGAGCAAUCCUGGUGGCGAGUGGCGAACGGGUGAGUAAUACAUCGGAACGUGCCCAGUAGUGGGGGAUAGCCCGGCGAAAGCCGGAUUAAUACCGCAUACGACCUAUGGGUGAAAGCGGGGGAUCGCAAGACCUCGCGCUAUUGGAGCGGCCGAUGUCAGAUUAGGUUGUUGGUGGGGUAAAGGCCUACCAAGCCGUCGAUCUGUAGCUGGUCUGAGAGGACGACCAGCCACACUGGGACUGAGACACGGCCCAGACUCCUACGGGAGGCAGCAGUGGGGAAUUUUGGACAAUGGGCGCAAGCCUGAUCCAGCCAUACCGCGUGCGGGAAGAAGGCCUUCGGGUUGUAAACCGCUUUUGUCAGGGAAGAAACGCUCUGGGUUAAUACCUCGGAGUAAUGACGGUACCUGAAGAAUAAGCACCGGCUAACUACGU
rnacentral:rRNA from 1 species